ACAUGCCUACAACAUAAUGUUAAUGCAUAUGAUCCCAUUAUAACUUUGUAGUUAAGAGCGCUCGAGGUAGAGUAGUACUGGGAUGGGUGAUCGCUCAGGAAGUCCUAAUGUUUUACAUGCC
rnacentral:rRNA from 1 species